rnacentral:rRNA from 1 species
AUUGAACGCUGGCGGCAUGCCUUACACAUGCAAGUCGAACGGCAGCGGGGGAAAAGCUUGCUUUUCCUGCCGGCGAGUGGCGAACGGGUGAGUAAUACAUCGGAACGUGCCCUGUAGUGGGGGAUAACUAGUCGAAAGAUUAGCUAAUACCGCAUACGACCUGAGGGUGAAAGUGGGGGACCGCAAGGCCUCAUGCUAUAGGAGCGGCCGAUGUCUGAUUAGCUAGUUGGUGGGGUAAAGGCCUACCAAGGCGACGAUCAGUAGCUGGUCUGAGAGGACGAUCAGCCAAACUGGGACUGAGACACGGCCCAGACUCCUACGGGAGGCAGCAGUGGGGAAUUUUGGACAAUGGGCGAAAGCCUGAUCCAGCAAUGCCGCGUGUGUGAAGAAGGCCUUCGGGUUGUAAAGCACUUUUGGCCGGAAAGAAAUGGCUCUGGUUAAUACCUGGGGUCGAUGACGGUACCGGAAGAAUAAGGACCGGCUAACUACGUGCCAGCCGCCGCGGUAA